UACGGGGGGAGCAAGCGUUGUUCGGAUUUACUGGGCGUAAAGGGCGCGUAGGCGGCCAGCACAAGUCAGUUGUGAAAUCUCCGGGCUUAACUCGGAAAGGUCAACUGAUACUGUGCGGCUAGAGUGCAGAAGGGGCAACUGGAAUUCUCGGUGUAGCGGUGAAAUGCGUAGAUAUCGGGAGGAACACCAGUGGCGAAGGCGACUUUCUGGCCUGUUCUUGACGCUGAGGCGCGAAAGCUAGGGGAGCGAACGGG
rnacentral:rRNA from 1 species